AAGGUAGUUGUGGACGGUUCACGAGUGAGAAUGCAGGCAUGAGUAGCGAUUCACACGUGAGAAACGUGUGCGCCGAUUGACUAAGGGUUCCUGGGUCAAGCUGAUCUGCCCAGGGUAAGUCGGGACCUAAGGCGAGGCCGACAGGCGUAGUCGAUGGAUAACCGGUUGAUACUCCGGUACCCGCUGAGAAGCGUCAAACAUCGAAUCCAGUGAUGCUAAGCCCGUGAAGCCGUUCCGGACCCUUCGGGGAAAGGAAAGUGGUGGAGCCGGUGACCCGAUCUGGU
rnacentral:ncRNA from 1 species